UACGUAGGGGGCAAGCGUUGUCCGGAAUCAUUGGGCGUAAAGCGCGUGUAGGCGGCUCGAUAAGUCUGCUGUGAAAGUCCAAGGCUCAACCUUGGGAUGCCGGUGGAUACUGUCGAGCUCGAGUCCGGAAGAGGAGUGUGGAAUUCCUGGUGUAGCGGUGAAAUGCGCAGAUAUCAGGAGGAACACCAAUGGCGAAGGCAGCACUCUGGGACGUGACUGACGCUGAGACGCGAAAAGCGUGGGGAGCGAACAGG
rnacentral:rRNA from 1 species